rnacentral:rRNA from 1 species
GAUGAACGCUGGCGGCGUGCUUAACACAUGCAAGUCGAACGUGAAGAAGCAGCAAUGUUUCUGAAAGUGGCGGACGGGUGAGUAACACGUGGGUGACCUGCCUUGCAGUGGGGGAUAACGAGGGGAAACCUUCGCUAAUACCGCAUAGGCUUACACUGAUGGGAAUGGUGUGGGUAAAAUUUCGGUGCUGCAAGAGGGGCCUGCGUCCGAUUAGCUAGUUGGUGAGGUAAUGGCUCACCAAGGCGAUGAUCGGUAGCUGGUCUGAGAGGAUGAUCAGCCACACUGGAACUGAGACACGGUCCAGACUCCUACGGGAGGCAGCAGUAGGGAAUAUUGGACAAUGGGGGCAACCCUGAUCCAGCCAUGCCGCGUGAGUGAAGAAGGCCCUCGGGUUGUAAAGCUCUUUUGUCCGGAAAGAAAAGCAAUCGGUUAAUACCCGGUUGUUCUGACGGUACCGGAAGAAUAAGCACCGGCUAACUUCGUGCCAGCAGCC